rnacentral:rRNA from 1 species
UUUUUAGUGAGAGUUUGAUCCUGGCUCAGGACGAACGCUGGCGGCGUGCCUAACACAUGCAAGUCGAGCGAGAGGAGUUCUUCGGAAC